rnacentral:rRNA from 1 species
UCGAGGAUCUUCCGCAAUGGGCGAAAGCCUGACGGAGCGACACCGCGUGCAGGAUGAAGGCCUUCGGGUUGUAAACUGCUGUCACGCUAUAGGAAACCUCGAAUGUGAACAACAUUCGAGCUGACUAAAGCGAGAGGAAGCCCCGGCUAACUCCGUGCCAGCAGCCGCGGUAAUACGAAGGGGGCUAGCGUUGCUCGGAAUUACUGGGCGUAAAGCGCACGUAGGUGGCGAUUCAAGUUAGAUGUGAAAGGCCCGGGCUCAACCCGGGAACUGCAUUUGAUACUGAAUUGCUAGAGUCCAAGAGAGGGUAGUGGAAUUCCCAGUGUAGAGGUGAAAUUCGUAGAUAUUGGGAAGAACACCAGUGGCGAAGGCGGCUACCUGGCUUGGUACUGACACUGAGGUGCGAAAGCGUGGGGAGCGAA